rnacentral:lncRNA from 1 species
UAAAAAUUCAGUCCAUUUUGAUUCGAAUGUUAUUAUAAUUUCAUCGAUUUUGGGUCUGAACUAACCAGAUUUCUUCACUGUAAAAUUUGUCACUCUGUUGACGAUAUAUUAAAGAACGUUUACGCGAUUUCUAUAUAUAGUUUUGAUAAUAAUGUCUGAUCAUUGUGAGCAGAGAUUUUUAACAUCAGGCAGCUCGGUGAACCAAAGAGGAACACAAAAUUAUGAAAAGAAACCUUUUGAAUGUGAUGUUUGUGAGAAGAGAUUUAACAGAUCAGAUUAUUUAGCUGUACAUAAACGAACACACACUGAAGACAAGCCUUAUGAAUGCGAUGUUUGUAAGAAGAAAUUUGCACAAUCUGGUAAUUUAGCAACGCACAAACGAAUACACACUGGAGACAAACCUUAUGAAUGUGAUGUUUGUAAGAAGAAGUUUAAAACAUCAGAUGCUUUGGUAAAGCAUAAGGGAACACAUACUGGAGACAAGCCUUAUGAAUGUGAUGUUUGUAAGAAGAAAUUUACAUAUUCGAACAGCCUGGUGUACCAUAAAAAAAGACACACUGGAGGCAUGCCUUAUGAAUGUGAUGUUUGUAAGAUGAAAUUUACAUAUUCGAACAGCCUGGUGUACCAUAAAAAAGGACACACUGGAGACAAGCCUUAUGAAUGUGAUGUUUGUAAGAAGAGAUUUAUACAAUCAGGUAGUUUAACUGUACACAAAAGAACACAUGCUGGGGACAAACCUUAUGAAUGUGAUGUUUGCAAGAAGAGAUUUAGCCAAUCAGGUAAUCUAACUACACACAUAAGAACACACACUGGAGACAAGCCUUAUGAAUGUGAUCUUUGUAAGAGGAAAUUUAAAAGAUCAGAUCAUUUGGUUAGACAUAAAAGAACACACACUGAACAUGAACCUUGUGAAUGUGAUGUUUGUAAGAAGAAAUUUAAAACAUCAGAUGCUUUGGUAAAACAUAAGGGAACACACACUGGAGACAAGCCUUAUGAAUGUGAUGUUUGUAAGAAGAAAUUUACAUAUUCGAACAGCCUGGUGUACCAUAAAAAAAGACACACUGGGGACAUGCCUUAUGAAUGUGAUGUUUGUAAGAAGAGAUUUAUACAAUCAGGUAGUUUAACUAUACACAAAAGAACACAUACUGGGGACAAACCUUAUGAAUGUGAUGUUUGCAAGAAGAGAUUUAGCCAAUCAGGUAAUCUAACUACACACAUAAGAACACACACUGGAGACAAGCCUUAUGAAUGUGAUCUUUGUAAGAGGAAAUUUAAAAGAUCAGAUCAUUUGGUUAGACAUAAAAGAACACACACUGAACAUGAACCUUGUGAAUGUGAUGUUUGUAAGAAGAAAUUUAAAACAUCAGAUGCUUUGGUAAAACAUAAGGGAACACACACUGGAGACAAGCCUUAUGAAUGUGAUGUUUGUAAGAAGAAAUUUACAUAUUCGAACAGCCUGGUGUACCAUAAAAAAAGACACACUGGGGACAUGCCUUAUGAAUGUGAUGUUUGUAAGAAGAGAUUUAUACAAUCAGGUAGUUUAACUAUACACAAAAGAACACAUACUGGGGACAAACCUUAUGAAUGUGAUGUUUGUAAAAAGAAAUUUAGACAAUCAGGAAAUCUAACUAAACACAAAAGAACACACACAGGAAACAAACCUUAUGAAUGUGAUGUUUGUAAGAAACAAUUUUCCCAAUCAAGUAGUCUUAAUUCCCACAAGAAGGGGCAUUUGUUGUGUCACACUUGCAGCAGAGAGAUUAUUCGACCGCAAGAAUUACAAGAACAUUUUGUUGAGGAUAGAAACACUGGAAAGUAUGUUUGUAACAAAUGUAAUAAACAAUCGUCUGGUUUCAUGAUAUUGGUUCAACAUUUGGCAAGGCAACAUGGUAAUGCUGGAAACUAUCAAUGUGCUUUAUGUCAAGAACUGGAAUCAAAAGAACCAACUGGUGUUGGAUAUGUUUGUUGUGUUUGCGAUGUCGUGUUUGAUGUUCCCAGAGAUCUUGAAGAUCACAUGGUCACCCAUGACUGAUCAAUCUGAAUAUUGUUGCCGGCUUUGAGUAUAGAGUAAAUCUAUUUACCAAGUCAAAUCCGAGUCAAUUCAGAGCCCAAGUCAAACGUCUGUCGAGUCACGUUAAAAAAAGACAAAAUUGAAAAAAUUUAUAAUCGAAUAGGGUUAAGGAAUAAGGUUAGGGUAGUAAGUCAUUGAACUACAAAGACCACUUAACAGUGACUCAGAC